UACGUAGGGGGCAAGCGUUGUCCGGAUUUAUUGGGCGUAAAGAGCGUGUAGGCGGCUAGAUAGGUCCGUUGUGAAAACUCGAGGCUCAACCUCGAGACGUCGAUGGAAACCAUCUGGCUAGAGUCCGGAAGAGGAGAGUGGAAUUCCUGGUGUAGCAGUGAAAUGCGCAGAUAUCAGGAGGAAUACCGAUGGCGAAGGCAGGUCUCUGGGCUGACACUGACGCUCAUGCACGAAAGCGUGGGGAGCAAACAGG
rnacentral:rRNA from 1 species